GACGAACGCUGGCGGCGUGCUUAACACAUGCAAGUCGAGCGGUAAGGCCCUUUCGGGGGUACACGAGCGGCGAACGGGUGAGUAACACGUGGGUGACCUGCCCUCAGCUCUGGGAUAAGCCCGGGAAACUGGGUCUAAUACCGGAUAUGACUCCAUGACGCAUGUUGUGGGGUGGAAAGCCUUGUGCGGCUGAGGAUGGGCCCGCGGCCUAUCAGCUUGUUGGUGGGGUGAUGGCCUACCAAGGCGACGACGGGUAGCCGGCCUGAGAGGGCGACCGGCCACACUGGGACUGAGACACGGCCCAGACUCCUACGGGAGGCAGCAGUGGGGAAUCUUGCGCAAUGGGCGGAAGCCUGACGCAGCGACGCCGCGUGAGGGAUGACGGCCUGGUGUAACU
rnacentral:rRNA from 1 species